UACGGGGGGGGCAAGCGUUGUUCGGAAUUACUGGGCGUAAAGGGCUCGUAGGCGGCCCACUAAGUCAGACGUGAAAUCCCUCGGCUUAACCGGGGAACUGCGUCUGAUACUGGAUGGCUUGAGGUUGGGAGAGGGAUGCGGAAUUCCAGGUGUAGCGGUGAAAUGCGUAGAUAUCUGGAGGAACACCGGUGGCGGAGGCGGCAUCCUGGACCAAUUCUGACGCUGAGGAGCGAAAGCCAGGGGAGCAAACGGG
rnacentral:rRNA from 1 species